UUCCGGCGGGGGCGGGGCUUCGGCCUGCUUCCCGGGAUGGCUGCGGACGCUUCCGGAGCAAAAACUCCUGAAACUACAACUCCCAGAAAACCUGACUUAUCAGUCAGUGCAAGAAAAAUUAAGGACAAUGCAGCUGAUUGGCAUAAUUUAAUACUGAAAUGGGAAACCCUCAGUGAUGCAGGUUUUACCACUGCCAAUAACAUCGCCAAUCUGAAAAUCAGCUUACUGAAUAAAGAACAGAUAGAAUUAGAAAACAUCAACCCAGUGUUCAGUGAAAAUGAAGAAAAGAGAUGUCCAGAAGAUGAUAAAGAACUUGAGUCACUGUGCAAGGAACUGCAGGUCACUUUGGAUGGUUUGGCUAAAAUACAGGUGAAAAUGGAAAAGCUAUCUUCAACUACCAAGGGAAUUUGUGAGCUAGAAAAUUAUUAUUAUGGGGAGGAGCACAGACGCCCCCCCCUGUUCCAUACCUGGCCUACCACCUAUUUCUAUGAGGUUUCCCGCCAGCUCUCUGACAUGUACCGGAAGGACCUCCUCCUGAAGCACACAGUGGCUGCAGAGCUGGCACACACGGCCGACCGAGACCUGUCCCUCAGCUACCUGUCCAUGUGGCUACACCAGCCCUAUGUGGAGGGCAGGAGCAAGCUCCUUCUGGAGAGCAUGCUGUGGGAGACAGGCCACCGGGGGCUGUGAUGCCUGACAGACCACACCAACCAAGCCAGGCACCAGACCAGUGGACUCUCCCCUGCCCUCAGAUGGACAGGGCCCCAGGUCUGGCCCUGGGACAAUAUCACCCUCCCCUGCAUGCAUGCGCCCGCACCUGCUGAGAAGUUCCCCCUGAGGCACCUGCAUGAGACUCAGCGCUCCUGAGAGAGGACGCUGAAGAUUCACCACCAUGACGGCCUUCCAAGACAUCCCAAUGUGCUCCCAGACUCCCAUCAGCCCUUGCUCAGCAAAGUUAAACGACUGCUUCUCCUAAGUACUACAGAAGCAAAAGAGCUAAGAGGUGAACAAGGAAUCUGAACCAGGUAUGGUGGUUCAUGCCUGUAGUUCCAGAUACUCAGAAGACUAAGACAAGGAGGAUCACAAGUUGAAGGC